GUCACUUUUCGGCCUCAUCAGCCAUAGUAUCUGUUCUUAUCAGUCUGAUGUCUGACCUGUUCCCAGUCUGAGGACCAUGUAUUUAGUGGAAUUUUGGAGCUGGGAGAUGGAACAGGGGCUUGCUCUGUCCCUUUGCGCAUCGACCUGGUAUUGUGGUGCUGCUAGGAACAUUGCAUCACCC
ensembl:snRNA U2 U2 spliceosomal RNA